rnacentral:rRNA from 1 species
AUUGAACGCUGGCGGCAGGCUUAACACAUGCAAGUCGAGCGGAGAUGAGGUGCUUGCACCUUAUCUUAGCGGCGGACGGGUGAGUAAUGCUUAGGAAUCUGCCUAUUAGUGGGGGACAACAUUCCGAAAGGAAUGCUAAUACCGCAUACGCCCUACGGGGGAAAGCAGGGGAUCUUCGGACCUUGCGCUAAUAGAUGAGCCUAAGUCGGAUUAGCUAGUUGGUGGGGUAAAGGCCUACCAAGGCGACGAUCUGUAGCGGGUCUGAGAGGAUGGUCCGCCACACUGGGACUGAGACACGGCCCAGACUCCUACGGGAGGCAGCAGUGGGGAAUAUUGGACAAUGGGCGGAAGCCUGAUCCAGCCAUGCCGCGUGUGUGAAGAAGGCCUUUUGGUUGUAAAGCACUUUAAGCGAGGAGGAGGCUACCUGGAUUAAUACUCUAGGAUAGUGGACGUUACUCGCAGAAUAAGCACCGGCUAACUCUGUGCCAGCAGCCGCCGCUGUAA